AUUGAACGCUGGCGGCAGGCCUAACACAUGCAAGUCGAGCGGAUGAAGGGAGCUUGCUCCUGGAUUCAGCGGCGGACGGGUGAGAAUGCCUAGGAAUCUGCCUGGUAGUGGGGGAUAACGUCCGGAAACGGGCGCUAAUACCGCAUACGUCCUGAGGGAGAAAGUGGGGGAUCUUCGGACCUCACGCUAUCAGAUGAGCCUAGGUCGGAUUAGCUAGUUGGUGGGGUAAAGGCCUACCAAGGCGACGAUCCGUAACUGGUCUGAGAGGAUGAUCAGUCACACUGGAACUGAGACACGGUCCAGACUCCUACGGGAGGCAGCAGUGGGGAAUAUUGGACAAUGGGCGAAAGCCUGAUCCAGCCAUGCCGCGUGUGUGAAGAAGGUCUUCGGAUUGUAAAGCACUUUAAGUUGGGAGGAAGGGCAGUAAGUUAAUACCUUGCUGUUUUGACGUUACCAACAGAAUAAGCACCGGCUAACUUCGUG
rnacentral:rRNA from 1 species